UAGGGAAUCUUCCGCAAUGGACGAAAGUCUGACGGAGCAACGCCGCGUGAGUGAUGAAGGUUUUCGGAUCGUAAAACUCUGUUAUUAGGGAAGAACAAAUGCGUAAGUAACUGUGCGCAUCUUGACGGUACCUAAUCAGAAAGCCACGGCUAACUACGUGCCAGCAGCCGCGGUAAUACGUAGGUGGCAAGCGUUAUCGGGAAUUAUUGGGCGUAAAGCGCGCGUAGGCGGUUUCUUAAGUCUGAUGUGAAAGCCCACGGCUCAACCGUGGAGGGUCAUUGGAAACUGGGAAACUUGAGUACAGAAGAGGAAAGUGGAAUUCCAUGUGUAGCGGUGAAAUGCGCAGAGAUAUGGAGGAACACCAGUGGCGAAGGCGACUUUCUGGUCUGUAACUGACGCUGAUGUGCGAAAGCGUGGGGAUCAAACA
rnacentral:rRNA from 1 species